ACUCACUUGGUGGAACUGGUAGACACGACAGACUUAAAAUCUGUUGCUUUUUCGGCAUGUAGGUUCAAGUCCUACAGUGAGCA
rnacentral:tRNA from 1 species